rnacentral:rRNA from 1 species
AACGAACGCUGGCGGCAUGCCUAACACAUGCAAGUCGAACGAGACCUUCGGGUCUAGUGGCGCACGGGUGCGUAACGCGUGGGAACCUGCCCUUAGGUUCGGAAUAACUCCCCGAAAGGGGUGCUAAUACCGGAUAAUGUCUUCGGACCAAAGAUUUAUCGCCUUUGGAUGGGCCCGCGUUGGAUUAGCUAGUUGGUAGGGUAAAAGCCUACCAAGGCGACGAUCCAUAGCUGGUCUGAGAGGAUGAUCAGCCACACUGGGACUGAGACACGGCCCAGACUCCUACGGGAGGCAGGAGUGGGGAAUAUUGGAAAAUGGGCGAAAGCCUGAUCCAGCAAUGCCGCGUGAGUGAUGAAGGCCUUAGGGUUGUAAAGCUCUUUUACCCGGGAUGAUAAUGACAGUACCGGGAGAAUAAGCUCCGGCUAACUCCGUG